rnacentral:rRNA from 1 species
GGAAUCUUCGGCAAUGGGGGGCAACCCUGACCGAGCAACGCCGCGUGAGUGAAGAAGGUUUUCGGAUCGUAAAGCUCUGUUGUAAGAGAAGAACGUGUGUGAGAGUGGAAAGUUCACACAGUGACGGUAACUUACCAGAAAGGGACGGCUAACUACGUGCCCA